GUCUCCCAAUCGAGCUCCUUUCUGUCUGUUGGUGGCAGUUUACAGAAUUGCAUGAGGAGAGAGAAUUCACAGAACUAGCAUCAUUUUACCUUCUGUCUUUACAGAGGUCUAUUUGGUUAUUUUGUGAGACAUUC
rnacentral:snoRNA from 1 species